UACGUAGGGUGCGAGCGUUAAUCGGAAUUACUGGGCGUAAAGCGUGCGCAGGCGGUUUUGUAAGCCAGAUGUGAAAGCCCCGGGCUUAACCUGGGAAUGGCAUUUGGGACUGCAAGGCUUGAGUGCGGCAGAGGAGACUGGAAUUCCUGGUGUAGCAGUGAAAUGCGUAGAUAUCAGGAGGAAUACCGGUGGCGAAGGCGGCGACCUGGUCCUUUACUGACGCUGAGGCGCGAAAGCGUGGGGAGCAAACAGG
rnacentral:rRNA from 1 species